CACUUCGGGUGACGAGCGGCGAACGGCUGAGGAACACGUUAGUACCUGCCCCAGACUCAGGGAUAAGCCUUGGAAACGAGGUCUAAUACCGGAUGUCCCAGUAAUGGGAAAGAUUUAUCGGUCUGGGAGGGGCUUGCGGCGUAUCACGCUUGUUGGUAAGGUAACGGCUUACCAAGGCUAUGACGCGUAUCUGGUGUGAGAGCACGACCAGACAGAGUGGGACUGAGACACGGCCCAC
rnacentral:rRNA from 1 species